rnacentral:rRNA from 1 species
GACGGAGGAUGCAAGCGUUAUCCGGAAUUAUUGGGCGUAAAGCGUCCGCAGGUGGCUGUUCAAGUCUGCUGUCAAAGCGCAGAGCUUAACUCUGUACAGGCGGUGGAAACUGAAGAGCUAGAGUAUGGUAGGGGUAGAGGGAAUUUCCAGUGGAGCGGUGAAAUGCGUAGAGAUUGGAAAGAACACCGAUGGCGAAGGCACUUUACUGGGCUAUUACUAACACUCAGAGACGAAAGCUAGGGUAGCAAAUGGG